GAAGCAAGUUCACCUUGCUUUCUGCCAUCUAAUCACAGGGGAAAAAGCUCACCAGCACAGUUAGAAAAGUCCUACAGAAAAGAAGGGGAGAAGGAGUGAGCACCAUGGCUCAGCUCUCCAACUUGAUGGGGAGUGAAGCCGUUGUGAGAAGAUGCAUUUAUUUCCAAGAGUGUGCUCUGAGUUAGAGAGGCUGCAGCAAGCUGGCAGGGCAGCUUGGCACGAGGAUUUUCUGGAGCAGCAGGUGAUGCUGAAAACACUUUGGAGGUCCCUCCAUUUAUUGUCGGGUACAGGGAGACCUGGCGCAAGAAACAUUUGAAAUACCAAGUCAUUUGUACUGGGGGAACAAUAUGCAGCCCUCAGCAGAGAAAAAGUCAAAACUCAGCUGAUGUUUCUGAGUCAGAGGCAAGUGCAACUGGUCAGAUGUGCCACACGCUUCUCGCCCUCCAGCUGAAAAUAACACUGCUUCCAAAUUUUCUGGGAGCGUGAAGAUUUCAACAGCAGCCUCAGCAGAGCUGCCCUGUGCUGUGUUGUUUACUUUUGAGGGAAAUUGUUGACUGCUUUCCAUUUUGCCACAUGUGAGACAAAACAAUUCACUAUCCUUUUAUUCAAUAAAAUUGUUUAAUAUUCCAA